GCAUCGGUGGUCCAGUGGUAGGAUAAUUGCCUUCCAUGAGAUCACUUGACCAGUGAUCACGUGAUCUAGCAAUUGGCACGGGUUCGAUUCCCGUCCGAUGCA